rnacentral:rRNA from 1 species
GACGAACGCUGGCGGCGUGCCUAAUACAUGCAAGUCGAGCGAAUCAAUAGGAGCUUGCUCCUGUUGGUUAGCGGCGGACGGGUGAGUAACACGUGGGCAACCUGCCUGUAAGACUGGGAUAACACCGGGAAACCGGUGCUAAUACCGGAUAAUCCUUUUCCUCUCAUGAGGAAAAGCUGAAAGUCGGUUUCGGCUGACACUUACAGAUGGGCCCGCGGCGCAUUAGCUAGUUGGUGAGGUAACGGCUCACCAAGGCGACGAUGCGUAGCCGACCUGGGAGGGGGAUCGGCCAGACUGGGACUGAGACACGGCCCAGACUCCUAGGGGAGGCAGCAGUAGGGAAUCUUCCACAAUGGACGAAAGUCUGAUGGAGCAACGCCGCGUGAGCGAUGAAGGCCUUCGGGUCGUAAAGCUCUGUUGUUAGGGAAGAACAAGUACCGGAGUAACUGCCGGUACCUUGACGGUACCUAACCAGAAAGCCACGGCUAACUACGUGCCAGCAGCCGCCGUAAUAC